AUGAUGGAGGUCCUGCUUGGGAGAGAGGUAGACUUGGUGGAUGGAAAAGAGACUGCAGCACUAACCGCAGCAGCCAUUGGUAAAAACUAGCUAAGGGAGAGAGAAAUGUUGAAUGAAGUGAUGAAGAAUGUGCAAUAGGCAAGGAAGUGAUCAGUAUGAAUGAAUGUUGUUGUUUUGAUUGCACAGACAAGAGAGGAGUAUAAGAUUUGAGUGGACGAGAUUUGGAAGCAAAUGAAGUGGCGGAUAUUAUAUUAGGAUAAGUGUACGUGGUGUGACACUGUGAUGGUAUCUCCGACUUUCAAAUAUCUCCUUACAUAUAAUAUUAUGUAUGUUGCUU
rnacentral:lncRNA from 1 species